rfam:Cucumis melo, WGS project CAJI01000000 data, contig: 07712
GGCGAGGAUGAUUAUUGCUUUAUAUUUCUGACACCUCUUGUAUGAGAAGUUCGUUCUGAAUAAGAUAGAUCUUCUUUGAGCAGAUUCAGCAACUCUCUGAGCC